CUCCAGUUGAUCGCAUGGUCUUCUGGGAAAGCUUUCGCGGUAUGGGAUGGGGUCGCGUCCUAUCAGCUUGACGGCGGGGUAACGGCCCACCGUGGCGUCGACGGGUAGCCGGCCUGAGAGGGCGACCGGCCACAUUGGGACUGAGAUACGGCCCAGACUCCUACGGGAGGCAGCAGUGGGGAAUAUUGCACAAUGGGCGCAAGCCUGAUGCAGCGACGCCGCGUGAGGGAUGGAGGCCUUCGGGUUGUAAACCUCUUUUAUCGGGGAGCAAGCGAGAGUGAGUUUACCCGUUGAAUAAGCACCGGCUAACUACGUGCCAGCAGCCGCGGUAAUACGUAGGGUGCAAGCGUUAUCCGGAAUUAUUGGGCGUAAAGGGCUCGUAGGCGGUUCGUCGCGUCCGGUGUGAAAGUCCAUCGCUUAACGGUGGAUCCGCGCCGGGUACGGGCGG
rnacentral:rRNA from 1 species